rnacentral:rRNA from 1 species
GAUGAACGCUGGCGGCGUGCCUAAUACAUGCAAGUCGAGCGAACAGACGAGGAGCUUGCUCCUCUGACGUUAGCGGCGGACGGGUGAGUAACACGUAGGUAACCUACCUAUAAGCCUGGGAUAACUUCUGGAAACCGUAGCUAAUACCGGAUAAUAUAUUGAACCGCAUGUUUCAAUAGUGAAAGACGGUUUUGCUGUCACUUAUAAAUGGAUUCGGUCCGCAUUAGCAAGUUGUUAAGGUAACGGCUUACCAAGGCAACGAUGCGUAGCCGCCCUGAGAGGGUGAUCGGCCACACUGGAACUGGGACCCGGUCCAGACUCCUACGGGGGGCAGAAGUAGGGAUUCUUCGGCAAUGGGCGAAAGCCUGCCGGGGCACCGCGGCGUGAGGGAGGAAGGUCUUCGGAUCUUAAAACUCUGUUAUUAUGGAAGAACAAAUGUGUAAGUAACUAUGCACGUCUUGACGGUACCUUAUCAGAAAGCCACGGCUAACUACGUG